rnacentral:rRNA from 1 species
AAAGGCGUAAUGAAAGUGAAGGUUCGCCACGCGCGAACCGAGGGAGGAUGGACGGUCGAUCGUGGCCGUCCCGCACUCCCUGGGCGUCUCGUUCUCAUUGCGAGAAGAGGCGCACCAAGAGCGUACACGCUGGGACCCGAAAGAUGGUGAACUAUGCCUGGUCAGGACGAAGUCAGGGGAAACCCUGAUGGAGGUCCGUAGCGAUUCUGACGUGCAAAUCGAUCGUCGGAACUGGGUAUAGGGGCGAAAGACUAAUCGAACCAUCUAGUAGCUGGUUCCCUCCGAAGUUUCCCUCAGGAUAGCUGGCGCUCGCUUCUCGCGAGUCUCAUUCGGUAAAGCGAAUGAUUAGAGGCAUUGGGGUCGAAACGGCCUCAACCUAUUCUCAAACUUUAAAUGGGUGAGAUCUCCGGCUUGCUUGAACUGUGAAGCCGCGAGAUAUCGGAUCAGAGUGCCAAGUGGGCCACUUUUGGUAAGCAGAACUGGCGCUGUGGGAUGAACCAAACGCUGAGUUAAAGCGCCUAAAUCGACGCUUAUGGGA